GGGCGCUUAGCUCAGCGGGAGAGCGCUACCCUCACACGGUAGAAGUCGCUGGUUCAAAUCCAGCAGCGCCUACCA
rnacentral:tRNA from 1 species